rnacentral:rRNA from 1 species
GGAUAACUACUGGAAACGGUGGCUAAUACCGCAUAAUGUCUACGGACCAAAGCAGGGGCUCUUCGGACCUUGCACUAUCGGAUGAACCCAUAUGGGAUUAGCUAGUAGGUGGGGUAAAGGCUCACCUAGGCGACGAUCUCUAGCUGGUCUGAGAGGAUGAUCAGCCACACUGGGACUGAGACACGGCCCAGACUCCUACGGGAGGCAGCAGUGGGGAAUAUUGCACAAUGGGCGCAAGCCUGAUGCAGCCAUGCCGCGUGUAUGAAGAAGGCCUUAGGGUUGUAAAGUACUUUCAGCGGGGAGGAAGGUGAU